rnacentral:tRNA from 1 species
GGUAGGGUGGCUGAGUGUUAAUAGGCGGUGGGCUGUAGUCCCAUUUAGGCGGGUUAAAUUCCUGUCCCUAUCA